rnacentral:rRNA from 1 species
CCAUUCCGAACACGGAAGUUAAGCCCACCAGCGCCGAUGGUACUUGGGUGGAGACGCCCUGGGAGAGUAGGUCGCCGCCGGAU